GCCUACGGGGCGCAGCAGUGAGGAAUAUUGGUCAAUGGGCGAGAGCCUGAACCAGCCAAGUCGCGUGAGGGAGUACUGCCCUAUGGGUUGUAAACCUCUUUUGUCGGGGAGCAAAAGCCGGACGUGUCCGGCUGUGAGAGUACCCGAAGAAAAAGCACCGGCUAACUCCGUGCCAGCAGCCGCGGUAAUACGGAGGAUGCGAGCGUUAUCCGGAUUUAUUGGGUUUAAAGGGUGCGCAGGCGGAGGCGAAGGUCAGC
rnacentral:rRNA from 1 species